GAGAGGAGGGCACCUCAGAAGCUGAUGAGGAAGUUCCGAUUGCCUGAAAAUGCCAAUGUAUCUGCCAUUAUUGCUAAAUGCGAAAGCAGGGUUCUGACCGCUGUUGUCGAGAAGCUUCCUCCUCCACCUAAGCCGAAAAAGGUUGAAGUUACUGUCUCUUGAAGAGGGAGAUUCUUGUGUAGAUGGUUUAGGAUUUUAGGCUUGAAGUUGUGUGGGUAGGGGUGUGCAAACGGUUG
rnacentral:misc_RNA from 1 species